AAGUCCAUGAUGUGGACAUCUCCGAAACAAUUCUCUAAAUCGUUCCCAAGGUUCAUACAACGAUUCCCCAUUAAAUUGACUAAAACUAGUAAUAUCCGUUAUAAAUUU